ensembl:ncRNA F59B10.8 ncRNA
AUUUCUGAAGGUGUUUCCCUACAUCUAAAAUUAAUGUUUAAUUUCGGGUAUUUUUUACAGCAAACUGAACAAUCUUGAAGUU